rnacentral:lncRNA from 10 species
GUACCAUGCAGCCACUGGCUCCAAAGGGACCUUCUACCAGGGAAUUUGAUUACUUGGAUAGAGCCCUUCUGUCGACCACUGACCUCAGGGCUAGCUCCCCAAAACGUCGCCUUCUCUACGCUCGUUUCUGCAAAGUAGCAACAGAACAACUUCCAGUAAAAGAAGGCACUGAGGUUUAAGUGCUACGUGGGAGCAGUUGCCGAUUUUUGCAAUGGGAGGCUGCAUAGAUUCAAGGUGGAACCAUCUAGUUGCAGGAAAACAAGCUCAGGGCUCCUGUUGAUUCUAUAUUAUGUGUGAGAAUUCGAAGAGAUUCAAAGACUAUAUCACCACCAUGGUCUUGCCAGAAUCUGCCCUCUGAGUCAUUUCUUAAUCUACUGAUUAUCUGUAGAACCAGCCUUAUAUAAACAAGGAAGCAUCUAGCAG